CUCCUGGGUUCAAGCAAUCCUCCAGCCUUGACCUCCCAAAGUGUUGGGAUUACAGACGAGAGCUACUGCGCCCACCUCUUUAACUCUUUUUACCUUUUAAAAAUCAAAUAACAAGACUAUUGGAGAAGACCAUUUGCAAAGUUCAGAUAUUGUAACUGUGAUAAAAGGAUUUCUGUUCAUCCCAUUCUCUGCAGCCCCUGAUCUCCUCUGAUGAUCAGUUCACAGGCUGGGAGGACCAGAGAGCCUAGGAGACAGAAGGCCCUGUGCUUUAGAACAUCAGAGUAGAUAGAGGCAAAUGAUGCACUUGGCUCUGCCAUAGUCUUUACACAGAAAGGUGUAUGCAGAACCAGGCAUUUCCAUGAGAAAAGUUAAGGGCAAAUGUAAUCCCUCAAACACAGCCACACUGUUGAAGAUUUCCUUGCAAGCUCCAGAAGGUGUUUACCUGCUUUGAGAAAGAUAGGAAUCCUCCUGUGGCUAAGUGUUGGCACCGGAGGAUUUUAUAGUAGCAUUAGCAUGGCAAAAUAUUACCUGCAAUUUCCCAGGGGGUCUUAAGAAUGUAUACUGUGUUAAUUGCAAUGGUUCUUUUAUGAAUCUUGAAAGAAAGUAUGGUUUUCAGCAACAGGCAGAAGAGAAUUGUACUACAGCCCCCUGCAAAAGGGAUGUCAUCUGUUUAUUAGUCAUGACUCAGAACAAAGUCAUGUGAUAGGCAUUUCCUAACAAAUUGUAUGGGAAUAAAAAUGUUCUUUGAUCAGUUUGUUCCUGAAAGGUAUUUUAAUAGGUUUAGAUGACUUUUGUUGACCUUCUUACGACUAUGUAUUAUACAGUACUAUUGGAAUUCAAUUAGGCUGUCAAAAAUAUUUGUUAGAAGGGAGGAAGGAGACUGGCUUUGAUUUGGGGGCAGGGGAAGGAAGCUUAAACACAUUUUUAUUCUAAAAAUGGUAGAGAGAGGUAUAGAUUACUAAAGCAAUUGCCAUUUGUAUAUUUGUUCUUUAAUUCUCAAAAAUAGCUUAUAUCUAUGGAGAAGAAAAUAAUGAAAAGUAAUAUCUUUACUGUAUUUGAACUGUUUAGACCUUCAUAAUUUAUAUACACCUAUAUUCCCAGAAAGUUUUCAUACAUAAUAAACUCCUAAAUCAUACCUCAUUCUUUCUAAACAUGCAAAAUAUUCAGAAUCCUAUGGAAGGAAAAAUAUACCUUUAUUCUAAAAAUUAAUUCUGAGCACUGAAAAUAAAAAUAAAUGGUUUUCCAGUGUUGCAAGGACCAUGCUAACAAAAUGUAAUCAGUGACAAAUGACUGCUUCCUCGACAGCCAGAACACUGUGCUCUCCAUACGGCUUACUACUCUCUAAUAACGUGUUUAAUGCCACCAAUGUGUUUAAUACUGCUCUCCUUCUAAUGUGUUUGCCCUGCCAGAUUGUGAGCCUGAGAACAGAAACUUCCUGACUGGUUCACCAUUAUUCUCCCUGCACCUAGAACAGUGAUGAGCUUCUGGCAGAUGUUGGCUGGAUGGAUGGAUGGACUGUUACGUGGAUGAGGCUGUCCAGUGGGCAAAGUGCCCCGUGACUGAGAACGAGACAGAAGAUUAGGGCGUCUGAGGAUGAGAAGGAAGAGGAACCAUCAGAGCCACCUGGGAGUGGAGGUCUGCUCAGGUCAGCCUGCUUCACCAAGGUGGCAGCCAGUGGGAACAGGAAGGAUGAAGACAUCGGACACAUUUGGAGAAAGAAACCAAAGCUGGCAUGAGCGGAGUCCUUUCCAACGCUGUUCAAGGCAACGGGACGCAAACUCCUCCCAAGGGGUAAACCUUGGAAGAUACCAGAAGGGAAGCCGAGCCUCUAGAGAUUGCUGAAGAACCCAAACCACCCUGAAUGGAGCCGGAAGGUCUGUCAAUUCCCAGAGAGGGAGGAAAUGGUGAGCAAAUGGCAGCCGUUGCCUAGAGAAUUAGGGAAUGAAUAGCAAUGCUUUCUGGUAAAUUAACCGUAUUACGUUAUGCCAAGGAAAGCGAUAGGAAACCCCUGUUAAAAACUGAAUAAUAAUUUGCCCACAUCAUUUAUGCAAAAUGCAUAAUUCUCCUACUUCAGUGGACUUUAGUUUGAUUUAAAAGAUGAGCAGCUCUAGGACUAUUCACCAAAGCAUAAUUUGUAAGAUAAUUGGGAAGGGGAAGAGAAAUCAGACUGUAAUCAGCACAAUCUUUCGUAAGCCACUUCACCUUCCUCCUCUCACCUGCAAAUUUUGGAGAAUAUAUUUGUUUACACUUUCCUGAAGUUCUCUAAAUGAAAGUGCAAUGCAUUCAUCAUUGUUGUCGCUACCACUGAACCAUGACCUCACCGUGAGAGGGGGAGAAGUAAUGCUUCGUUCUAUUCAGUAUUUUUCUGCUCUAAUUCAGAUAAGUACUUGUUUUGAAUAGUGGGGGGAAAAUGGAAAUGUAGCAAAGCUAUACUUAAAACAGCAAGCCGAGAACAAAAGCAACACGCAUGCAGCCAAAGGAGACCUUGGAAGAUACACAGAUAAAACAAAAAGCUGUGCUUGGCUGGGAUUCUGCUUCAGAAUCAAAUGCAAAAUGGAGAAUGUUGUUCUAACUGUAAAGAUUUUGCAAUCUACAAUCAGUCGGAAUAAAAAGAUAUAAUGUAGUCCACCUUGACAGUCAGAAGCUGCACUGUUGCUGUGAAUUAUGGUGUUUGUUCAUGACUUAUGUAGAUUUUCAGACCCAGAGUAGUGGAAGGCAGGCUGGAAUUUGUCGGCGUACCAGUUGCCCUUCACUUCAACAGGGCACACCCAUGUCAGCCAAUGUUCGUAUCUCUUCCUCUCCUCCUUUUCCCUCCUCUUCACCCCUUGCUCCCCAAUCUCAUUAGAAUCAUGAAAUUUUUACUUAUGUAUUCAUUAAUUCUCUUCAUCCCCACAUCUCCACAAAGGAUCAUUAUCUGCUUAUUAAAUUCAGCCCUUACACAGUGUCUCACGCCUGUAAUUUCAGCUGUUUGGAAGGCUGAG